rnacentral:tRNA from 1 species
UAUUUAAAUAGUUUAAAAAAAAUAUUAGUUUGUGGGACUGAGGAUAUGAUUAAUUCAUUUUAGAUA